rnacentral:rRNA from 1 species
CCUACGGGUGGCAGCAGUGAGGAAUAUUGGUCAAUGGUCGGGAGACUGAACCAGCCAAGCCGCAUGAGGGAUGAAGGUACAGAGUAUCGUAAACCUCUUUUGUCAGGGAACAAAGGCGGGGACGUGUCCCCUGAUGAGUGUACCUGAACGAAACGCAUCGGCAAACACGGUGCCAGCAGCCGCGGUAAUACGGAGGCUGCGAGCGUUAUCCGGAUUAAUGGGGUUAAAAGGGUGCGCGGGCGGUCUGUUAAGUCAGCGGUCAAAGCCCGGGGCUCAACCUCGGACCGCCUUUGAAACUGGCAGUCUCGAGUUGGAGAGAGGUAUGUGGAAUGCGCGGUGUAGGGGUGAAAUGCAUAGAUAUCGCGCAGAACUCCGAUUGCGAAGGCAGCAUGCCGGCUCCACACUGACGCUGAGGCACGAAAGCGUGGGUAUCGAACAGGAUUAGAUACCCGUGUAGUC